GGGUUGUGAGGUUAAGCGACUAAGCGUACACGGUGGAUGCCCUGGCAGUCAGAGGCGAUGAAGGACGUGCUAAUCUGCGAUAAGCGUCGGUAAGGUGAUAUGAACCGUUAUAACCGGCGAUUUCCGAAUGGGGAAACCCAGUGUGUUUCGACACACUAUCAUUAACUGAAUCCAUAGGUUAAUGAGGCGAACCGGGGGAACUGAAACAUCUAAGUACCCCGAGGAAAAGAAAUCAACCGAGAUUCCCCCAGUAGCGGCGAGCGAACGGGGAGCAGCCCAGAGCCUGAAUCAGUGUGUGUGUUAGUGGAAGCGUCUGGAAAGGCGCGCGAUACAGGGUGACAGCCCCGUACACAAAAAUGCACAUACUGUGAGCUCGAUGAGUAGGGCGGGACACGUGGUA
rnacentral:rRNA from 1 species